rnacentral:sRNA from 1 species
CUGACAGCCCUGAGGACCAAAGCACACUUCCAGCCACAGAAAAGACACAGUGAAAGCAGCAAUGGGGUAUACCUCACCACAUUGCCAUGCACAUGUGGGCCCCAAGCCUGCUGCAGAAGGAUCACCUCUAGACUGGCAGAAUAAUUCAAUAUUUCAUCCUUUGCUGCUUAUCCACACUUGGAAGAG